AGAAGUACGAGAUGCUACUGUGCGUCAGAACAGCCUUAAAAUGACUAUCGUGUAUUCUCAGCUUUGAGAACUGAAUUCCAUGGGUUGUGAUUGAAUCCUCUGUCAGACCCGUGGGGCUCAGUUCUUCAGCUUGGAUAUUUCUGUCUUCAUAUACACAGGAGAUCAAAGAAACACUUGAUCAUUCGCUGACUCUUCUGGAUGGUGAUAGCAGCAAAUAGGAAAGAGAAAGAAUAACUGAUAUGAAUCAUUUUGACAGGGAGGUUUCACUGCAAAGGCCGGGUUCUCCUAUGUUAAAUAGCUAUACAGUGAUUGAAUCUUUCCGUAGCUGAUAGGCUCUGUGUUGCUGUUCACUCUUUAAUUCACUCUGCUGUUUCCUCUCAGUUUUAUCAAGUUACAUACAGGUCCCUAAGAUAUUGUUGAUUGAAUUAUGGUCCCUAAAUAUUGCAAACUGGUGCAGCUAUGAUGAGCCGCACCGAACUGGUGAAACCCUGGCCCUCCCCAGCCUGAAGGCCAAGUUUGGCGGCUGCUGCUCAGCCACGACCUCCUUGGUGCUGCCCUGAGACCACUCCUGUUGGAUGUGCGUGCUGUUUGUUUUGUUUUGUCUUAGGCCAAAGACCCAUUUUCCGUGAAGAAGAUCUCAGUUCUGACUCAGGUAUAUGCAUUUGCACCAGGCAGCAGCAUCUUGCAGAAACACACACUUUCUUUGCUGAAGAGGGUAAUGUACUCCCAGAGUCUUUGGGUUAGGGAAGUUCUGUUGCAAGCAGCAAUGGCAAUGAGUGGUGCACUGUUGAAAGGCUUGGCAGCAUAGGUGUCCCUUUACAGGUGGAUUCACCCAAGCCACAGGCUGAUAAAGUUCAUGCUAUUUCCAUGGAAGAACCAUAUUCACAUUUUUCUUUCAGGCAUCAGGAAGAUAAAAUUUGGGGUCUUCUCCAAGCAUAUGAUGAGUUAACCUUGCCAGUGAACUUCCCACCUCUUUUCUGCAAUAACAACACCUUUCCAAAUUACAUUUUUCCAAAUCAGUAAAGUGAAUUAUACACUGAUCUCAUCACUGUUGUGCAAUGCUCUUAAAAGCAUGGGAAUGUUAAAAAAGAAAAAAAGAAGAAAAAAAAGAAUCCCACAGGUGCGGGAGGAGCAAAUUCAGCUAAGUAGCUUAAAAUAGUCAUGUGCCUUUUAUUCCGAGAAAAGUAUUUACACUAAAGAUAAUCAGAUAUAAUCACUGCUGCCUGUGGAUACAGAUGUACCUUCAUAUUGAUGUGCUUUUCAUACGAAUUUGUAUUCUAGGGGUUGAGGAAAUUCUUUGCAACUGUCUAAAAUGUAUCAUGAUCGCCAGUCUAAAGACUGUAAUACUUGGAAGAGUUCACCAGUUCCACCAGAUCAUGCACUGGGAAUACCCAUUAUCUAUAUCCAUUAAGGAGGAGAAACGCACAAAGGAAAAGAGAAAUUUGAAGUUUUGUUUCCUCUACCUUCUCUGUCAGGCAGAGGAGCUGAAAUCUGAGUUCAGAGUUAGUAAAACCUGCAAAAGAAGAGAAAAAAGGGAACAGUUAACUGAGUGUCUAGCAGAGGCAACGCCAUGGAUAUUAGACAGCUGAAGGCACAAAGUGGGUUGACUUCCUUCACUAAGAGCCCAAGCUCCAGGCAAUGAUGCAGUAAAGAAGAUGACGUAUUGUCUGACGGUAACCACACAAGGCAACUGAGGAAAUCAAGAUGGUCUUUCAUAUGGGAGUCAUUGCAGUCCUACCUCUUCAAGGGCAGUCCUCCAAGUGUGGUGUAAGUAAUGCUGUUUUUGCUCAGAAGUCUACACUAUGCUGACCAAGUAGUGAACGCUAGCACUAUUGGCACUACCUUAAAUUAACCUUAAGUAGUUAGGAUAUGGAGGAGUGAACAAGUUACCGUCAAAUCAGCAAGGAAGCAGAUACAGAGCAGUAGCUACUCUGUGAUUGCUUGCUUGCUUGCUUGCACGAAGGGAGAGGUAGGUUCCCAUACAGGCAGAGCCCUGUCUGUAUACCACUGCUAACACGCUGCAAAAUCACAAGCCAGCUUACCAUGCGUUUAGGGUAUUGUAAAUGUGAUAUCGCUACCAAAUAUCAUGCUUAGGUUAUGGCAGUAGCUAUGUCUAGGCAGCUCUGAACCUCCCAGCUGCCAUGAACUGCCUGCGUCUAGAUGUGCAAGUCUUGAAACUUCUGUCUUGAACUUCAGCCCUCCGUGAACACUGGGCUUGGGCGUAGGAAGACAGUCCUGCCAGCCCACAUGUGAUAAAAAAAAGUAGUUGGUAUUUGCAUCCUGAACAGGAACAUCACCUGAUCUUAUUCAUGUGAAAAAUGGUCAGGUAAAGAGUUGUUCCCAGAAUUUGUCAUCUUCAAGCCUGUUUCUGCCAUUUUCUAUGGUCUACGAUUGCUACUGGAUAAGCAAGCACAGAUUAAAAUGAUCUGGCACAGAGCUAUUUUGGCAGCAGAAGCGGCCUUCCAGCUCCAGGUGACCGUUCAGCGUGAUCUGCCUUCGUUGUAGGCUGCUGUUUACUUUCCAGCUUUGCUUGCCCUGGGUGACAAAGCAUCUUUUCAGAUAUUCUUGGGAUCUUUUAGCUUAUGUUUAUUGGGAGCAAUCUUAUCUUUAAACCACAUAACUGAGAUUUCAAGUCCCAACCUGGAGUAUAAAUGUAUUUUAUCCUACUGACAGUCCUAUGGUUUCGCAGCAGAGUUAAGUGUUUUUGACAAGAGGUUUCAAACCAAUGUACCUUCCGUCUGUCUAACUACGCUGCCUUGCAGUGUGCACCUUCAUCCUGCUUCCCUGAAACCGAAGCAGUCGUCGGGAUGCCCCAGCCUGCCGGGCACCCCGGACUCGGUCUGCGGGGGGAUGCUGCCUUCGGCACGCUGUGGUCUCGCAGGACGGAUCGCAGCGCAGACUUUAAUGUCAGUCAGUGAUGUGUUUCCCGACAUUUUGCCAGGCGCGCUGUGUGUUAUGGAUAUCAACUGAUAUAAGCCAUUACUGUUUUCACCAGCUUUGGGUACGAGCACGAGAAGCUAAGGACUUACGGCUCUUAGGGCUACAACUCUCCUGAAGAAUUUUAUCAUCUUAUCUUUUCCCCUGAUUUAGGAAACUGAUCUCUUUAAUCCUCUAAAUGUUUCAUUUUGGAGCAAAAUUUUGACAACCCCCCCCCCCCCCCCCAGCAGAAUCAUUCAGGUGAGUCCAGCCAUAUUGGCUACUACUGCUAUAGAUUUGAAACUUGAUUUUGGGGCAAGUAAAGCAUUUGCUAAAAAACACUGCUUCUCGCUAUAUGUCUUUUUCAAGCCGAUCUGUGCCACCUUUUGAUGCUCUUUCACAGAGUAGCCUGUGCACUUUUUCUGAAUAAAGCGACGGGCUGAGUCUUGGCGUAGCUGUGAGGAGAGGCCAGGCCCGCGGGCAGCGCGGCGUGGCGUUUGGAGACGGGUGACUGGAGGGAUGUGAGAGAGCCUGGACCCUUAAAGUGGAGCAGCAGCCCUGAAGAUUUUCGCGUGCUUGCUGUUCUUUGCUUGUGGCUUUCUGCUUGCUCUGCCCCACAAACAAAUGAGGACAAACACCUACGGCCUUCUGCGACGAUGUCCCCGGGUCCCUCCGAGCUGCGGCGUGCUGCCUCCUGCUCCCUCUGCCGCGUGGCUCCUCGCCCCGUGUCUCGGGGGACCGGCUCUUUUUUUCUUCUCCUUUUCUUGCAGCUCAUCCCACAGGAGACUCUUCUCCCUGCCUCGAGACAGCGCUUGAAUUGAAAAAUAAACCUCCCCAGGGCCCGGAGGGGCUUGCACGCUACGUUAAAGGCAGGAGGGCAGCGAGCGGGAGCCGAAGCAGCACGGGCAGGGGAGUGGACGGAGCCGGCCGGCCGAGAGCAGCCGGGACGCCCCGGGCUGCAGACUGCCGUUCUCUCCACCCUCACUCUGGCACAAUGAGCAUCAAGUGUCUCAUCCAUAUGCCACAUCUAUUUCUGUGAUCCAAUGAGACAGGAACAGGACACGAAGAAAGAAUAUAUUCCUAUUAGAUAGGCAGGGCUCUAGGAGGGGAAUUGUACUAUUGUGAGAGAUUAAAAUAAAAUGAUGAAAAUUUGCAAUC